CCUACGGGAGGCAGCAGUGGGGAAUAUUGCACAAUGGGGGAAACCCUGAUGCAGCAACGCCGCGUGAAGGAAGACGGUUUUCGGAUUGUAAACUUCUGUUCUUAGUGAAGAAUAAUGACGGUAGCUAAGGAGCAAGCCACGGCUAACUACGUGCCAGCAGCCGCGGUAAUACGUAGGGGGCAAGCGUUAUCCGGAUUUACUGGGUGUAAAGGGAGCGUAGACGGCAGGGCAAGUCUGGGGUGAAAGGCGGGGGCUCAACCCCCGGACUGCUCUGAAAACGGCCAGGCUGGGGUGCAGGGGAGGUAGGGGGAAUUCCGGGUGUAGCGGUGAAAUGCGUAGAUAUUAGGAGGAACACCAGUGGCGAGGGCGGCUUACUGGACUGUAACUGACAUUGAUGCUCGAAGGUGUGGGUAUCAAACAGGAUUGGAUACCGAGUAGUC
rnacentral:rRNA from 1 species